rnacentral:rRNA from 1 species
ACUCCUACGGGAGGCAGCAGUGGGGAAUAUUGCACAAUGGGGGAAACCCUGAUGCAGCCAUGCCGCGUGUGUGAAGAAGGCCUUCGGGUUGUAAAGCACUUUCAGUAGGGAGGAAGGUAGUGUAGUUAACACCUGCAUUAUUUGACGUUACCUACAGAAGAAGCACCGGCUAACUCCGUGCCAGCAGCCGCGGUAAUACGGAGGGUGCGAGCGUUAAUCGGAAUUACUGGGCGUAAAGCGCAUGCAGGCGGCCUGUUAAGUCAGAUGUGAAAGCCCGGGGCUUAACCUCGGAAUUGCAUUUGAAACUGGCAGGCUAGAGUCUUGUAGAGGGGUUAGAAUUUCAGGUGUAGCGGUGAAAUGCGUAGAGAUCUGAAGGAAUACCAGUGGCGAACGGCGGCCCCCUGGACAAAGACUGACGCUCAGAUGCGAAAGCGUGGGAGCAAACAGGAUUAGAUA